UAGGGAAUAUUGGGCAAUGGGCGCAAGCCUGACCCAGCCAUGCCGCGUGAAGGAUGACUGCCCUAUGGGUUGUAAACUUCUUUUGUACGGGAAGAAACCCCUCUACGUGUAGAGGGCUGACGGUACCGUAAGAAUAAGGAUCGGCUAACUCCGUG
rnacentral:rRNA from 1 species